rnacentral:rRNA from 1 species
AUUGAACGCUGGCGGCAGGCUUAACACAUGCAAGUCGAGCGGAGAUGAGGUGCUUGCACCUUAUCUUAGCGGCGGACGGGUGAGUAAUGCUUAGGAAUCUGCCUAUUAGUGGGGGACAACAUUCCGAAAGGAAUGCUAAUACCGCAUACGCCCUACGGGGGAAAGCAGGGGAUCUUCGGACCUUGCGCUAAUAGAUGAGCCUAAGUCGGGAUUAGCUAGUUGGUGGGGUAAAGGCCUACCAAGGCGACGAUCUGUAGCGGGUCUGAGAGGAUGAUCCGCCAAACUGGGACGGAGACACGGCCCAGACUCCUACGGGAGGCAGCAGUGGGGAAUAUUGGACAAUGGGCGGAAGCCUGAUCCAGCCAUGCCGCGUGUGUGAAGAAGGCCUUUUGGUUGUAAAGCACUUUAAGCGAGGAGGAGGCUACCUGGAUUAAUACUCUAGGAUAGUGGACGUUACUCGCAGAAUAAGCACCGGCUAACUCUGUGCCAGCCGCCGCCGUAAUAC